CGCGAGUUUCGAGACGGCAGUACCCAUGCGCGAGUUUCGAGACGGCAGUACGCAUGCGCGUGCCUGGAGAUGGUAGUACGCAUGCGCGAGGUUCGAGACGGCAGUACGCAUGCACAACAUUCUGGACGGCAGUACGCAUGCGGGAGACGCGAGCCGGUGGCAGCAGAUACCGUGGAAACAACAACUCUGCCGCCUUUUAGCGGACUGCCUGGGACCGUGGGCGCGCAUCCCCUCCUCUCUUUUUUUUCUUGGCAGAGGAUGGUGGGAGGAAGAAGGGGAGACGACAAAGAAAAGCAAGGAAAACUUCGACAAACCCUCCAACCCCGUGCUAAAUGCUUUGGUAUACCUGUAAAUAAAUGAAUACAUAACCAGUAA
ensembl:lncRNA